AUCCCUGUAGCUCAGUUGGUAGAGCAUGGUGUUUGCAACGCCAAGGUUGUGGGUUUGAUUCCCACGGGGGGCC
rnacentral:tRNA from 1 species